ACCUUAGAUUGUCCGGAGAGUUCAGCAGCUGAGUGGGCUAUGUCUUUAUCCUUCUCACAGCUCGGGAGUCAUUUGACUCAUUUCCCCAGCUUCUCCACAAUUCUCCAUGGUAGCAAGCAGGUUACAAUGUCUGCAGAUCCCAUCACUUACUCCAAGCUGAUCAUCUGACCCUCUCAGCCUACAAUGGCCACUUAGCAAAUGACGAAAUCCUUGGACCUUAAUACAAGUUGCUCCAGCACACGCCCUCGAGUGAAGGAAGAGAUUUGUGGCAACUGAGCCUGAGCCAGUCUUGAGGAGAGCCACCGCUUUCCCAAGAAGCAGAACUGUCAAAACAGACACUGGGAGACAAAAAGAAAACCAGCAGCAUCGGUUUUCCCUUCCACAAAGUGUGGUCUGGUGGCUCUGGAAUUCUGACUCCAGCUGCAGCAGUAGAGAAGGUUCGCCACAGGACGACAGGGAGCCGGGGAGGGGGGUGCAGAAACCGGACCUCAGGGACUGACCAAAGAGUUCAGUGUGAAGAGACAUCUUGUGUCCCAGUCAGCUCGGGAUAUGAGAACUCUGCCUUCUAUAAAGAUUAAAGAUUUUAAUAAUUCAAGUUGGAGCUUGAAGUACACUUAAGUUUUUAACAUUUAUCUUCAAGAUAAUUAGUAAGCUAUCUCUUGUCUUGGAGGGUUUUGGUUAUCAUCGUUUUUUCUGGAUUAAUGCUAAGUGGUGAUUCUGGGGAAAUACUUAAAAUAUUCUAUAGUACUACAGCCUUUUAACAUUUCCUCCCAGGAAAAACAAAAAUAAAAGUCUUCUACCAGUUUAAAUCAUUUAAGCAACUAUUUUAAGAAACAAGUUCUUAAAUGGGAGAUGUUGGGCAAGCAAGAUCAGCCUGUGUCUGAGUGGAAACACAGAGCCUGCCAAGAAAGGAGAUGCUCAGUGGUCUGAACUUUGCCUUAUAUUAUAGACUUGGAAUUUGGAGUCGUUUAAUACUUCAUGUUGUGCUCAACUUACAAAAGCCCACCAUGUUUCUGUAAGCCUAGGACAGUCAAAUUCUGCUCACUGUUAUUAAUGUAAUAAACUACUAACACUGUGUUAAAGUUGA